UUGGCGACCACCACCUUAUCCAUCCACGCCCGAUGAAGCUCGAUGAUUUUUUGAUAUCCACUCUCUAGAGCAUACAUAUCGUGUGUCUACUGAAAGAAAAGGACAAGUCAAGUCGGAUAAAAAAAAAGGAGAGAAAAAUAUCGUUAACUUAUCUUAAGUAUCGUUAGAUAAAAUGAAGAAAAUAUUUCGGAUACAGUCCGAUCUCUCCUGUUCUCCCUGUCAGUAAGGAGAAGUGCAGCUU
rnacentral:lncRNA from 1 species